ACAAAUUAUAGGGGUGAGCUGGCACCCCAACACACUCCCAUAUGAUAUUUAUUAUCUUCACUGAUUGCUUUUGCUAAACAGUCUCCUGUGUGUUUGCAGUUCCAGAGGCUGCUCUCAACAUGGGGUUUGUUGCUGGUGGUGUGCUGGCUGCUCUGGGUCUGAUCAUCGCAGUGAUCAUAGGAGCUCUCAUCUGGAAGAAAAGAGCAUCAGGUGCCAGGAGCCCUGACUACACACCAGCACAGACAAAGGAACAAAGUGAUGCUUCAUCCAACUCAUCCAACUCCACCAACGACAGGUGUGACUCCAUUGCAGAGAAGCUGAUGACACAGACAGAAUAAACAACUCAGCUGAGGCUUCAUCUUUUACACUUUAUUUACCCCGAUAGUGUCACACAGAGCGAUCGGACAAACUGAUAGACAAGGUUGCAGUCAUCUGUGUUAAGAAUUAAGGAUUUGUAGUCGUUUGUAUGUAGUAGCCUAGGCUCUAAAUAACCUGUCAUUAAGAAAAUGUAACAUUGCUUUAUGGGACAUGCAAGAAAACAAGAAGAAAUUGAUUUUACUUCGAGGAUUACUACUUGUUUGUUGGAAAGCACCUGCUUGUAAAGGAAGAAGAGAAUCUGCAGUACAGUCGGGGCAUCAGAGGCAAGAAGAUCGAUGGUGUGAUGUCUGGUGAGCAGGGGCACUGAUGUAACGAAGUUUCAGAAGAAAAAUACCGGAAAUUAUGAGAAGGUUCUGGUCUCUUUUAAAAAAGUAUGAAACCCUAUUUCAUGUGAGGUGCACCUUUCACCAUCUUCUACUCUUUUCUGUCACCCUUUGUGUGGAAGCUGCGAUGCUACAGACUCCCGUUUGUUGCUGAUAACGACUCAGUCUUUGCUGCUCUUUUCUGUCACCCUUCGUGUGGAAGCUGCGAUGCUACAGACUCACGUUUGUUGCUGAUAACGACUCUGCUGCUUGUUUUAUGUUGAGGCACUGGAUCCCAUAGACGGUACCAGCCUGUUUAUGUAACUGGAUACAGAUACAAAGGUGGGGAAUGGUCAAACCUGUUAACUCCUAUACUUGCUCUUUCCUUUCAUAUUUGUUAGCUAUAUUUUUAGCAAUUGUUGCUACAUGUCCGAAGUGUUCCAUAGAUCUCAGUCUUAGGUCCUUUGUUAUUUUCAUUAUACAUGCUACCGUUAGGUGAUAUUAUCCACACACACGGAGUGAACUUCCGUUGCUAUGCGGAUGAUACCCAGCUAUAUCUGUCCCUAAAGCCAGGAAAUACUUCUGCUGGGGAGUUACUUGCUGCUUGUCUUGCAGACAUCAAGUGUUGGGUGUCUCAGAAUUAUUUAAUACUAAAUUCAGGUAAAACAGAGGUUAUGCUAGUGGGCUCUUGGAACCAACUAAAAAUGUGGGAUUACAUGAAUUCGACCCUAGUAAUUUAAUUAACUAUUAAACUAGAAAUUAAAAAUGUGGGGGUCAUAUUUGAUCCUGAUCUCUCAUUUGAGACUCAUCUUAGCUCAGUUACAAAAGUAUCUUUUUACCAUUUGAGAAAUAUAGCCAAACUUAGACCAAUACAUCUGUGCCGAGAGACUAAUGCAUGCCUUUGUUUCAUCUAGAAUUGAUUACUGUAAUGCACUUCUCUCUGGUAUCCCAAAAGGUGUGCUGUCUCACUUACAGCACUUUCAGAAUACCUCUGCUAGAAUUCUGACUAAAACCAGGAAAAGUGAACAUAUUACCCAUUUUAGCCUCCUUACAUUGGCUACCAAUUCAACAUAGAAUUGAUUUUAAGAUCUUGCUGUUAACCUAUAAAGCCCUAAAUGUAUUAGCACCUAGUUAUUUGACGGGGUCAGUUACUCCUGCAAAUAACUCGAUGCUAAUACAUCAUCCAGAUCACACAAUGCAGGGCUACUGGUCAUUCCUAGCGUUAACAGAAUGAACACGGGAGGAAGGGCUUUUUCAUGCAGAGCUGCUAAAUGAUGAAAUGCCCUCCCUUCUUCACAGGGAAGCUGAGACUGUUACAGUUUUACAUACUUUUAUGAAAUGUGAGUUUUUAACAUUCAUUUUUUUAUAUAGUGUUUUUUAAAUAUGCUAUUUAAUGUGUAGCAGUUGUGUGUGUGACAUGCCUGGGGUCCUUUAUACAAAGGCAUUGUGUUGUGUUAAUGGAAAUGCUUUUUGCAAUGUGCUGUGCAGUGCUUUGUGAUACUUUUCUAUGAAAAGCGCUAUAUAAAUGCAAUAAAUAAAACAUGUAAAAACAUUUUUAACCAAUUUAUUAUUUUACUGAAGCAUAAUUCAUGGUUAAUCCA